rnacentral:rRNA from 1 species
CGAUGCAUAUUUGGUGUAGGUCAUUCAGUUGAUCUGUGCCGGAGCUAACGCGUUAAAUAUGCCGCCUGGGGAGUACAGUCGCAAGGCUGAAACUCAAAGGAAUUGACGGGGGCCCGCACAAGCGGUGGAGCAUGUGGUUCAAUUCGACGCAACGCGAAGAACCUUACCUGGGCUCGAACGGCUGGUCAACGAUCGUGGAAACACGGUUACUCCGCAAGGGGGUCCAGUCGAGGUGCUGCAUGGCUGUCGUCAGCUCGUGUCGUGAGAUGUUGGGUUAAGUCCCGCAACGAGCGCAACCCUUGUCCUGUGUUGCCAUGCCGAAAGGCGGAACUCGCAGGAGACCGCCAGCGAUAAGCUGGAGGAAGGUGGGGAUGACGUCAAGUCCUCAUGGCCUUUAUGUCCAGGGCUACACACGUGCUACAAUGGCCGGUACAAAGCGCUGCUAAGUCGCAAGACGGAGCCAAUCGCAAAAAACCGGUCUCAGUUCGGAUUGCAGGCUGCAACUCGCCUGCAUGAAGCUGGAAUCGCUAGUAAUGGCAGAUCAGAACGCUGCCGUGAAUACGUUCCCGGGCCUUGUACUCACCGCCCGUC